rnacentral:snoRNA from 1 species
UUUUUAAAAAAGAUGAGUAAAUGUAAACAAAUGUAGUGCUAGUUGAGCAACCUCAUUUAGGAGAAAGGAGAGAGAGAUAUUUUUUUAGCCGGGUCGGCCGAAAAAUCGACCAACCAUAUUGUAUUAAGAAGAGAGAAAAAAAGAGCCAGGUACAUACAACAUUAUACUGUCGCAAGGC